ensembl:lncRNA
GCAAAUCUCCUCGACCGGGACCUGGCCAUCAAGAUGGGGAUUGAGCAAGUAGCUUUGGAAAGACCCAUCCGGGCCACGGCGUUGGACGGUCGGCUACUCUGCAGGGUUACCCAUCAAACCACCCCUCUGCGCUUGGAGAUGUCAGAUCUCACUGGCGUACCGGAGGAUUACCACGACGUGAGGGAGGUGUUCAACAAGGCUCGGGCCACCUCACUACCACCUCACCGCCCGUACGAUUGUGCUAUAGACCUCCUUCCGGGACCUCGCCCCCAAGAGGGCGACUAUUCUCUCUGUCGGCCCCUGAGACUAGGACUAUGGAGAAGUACAUCAGCGACUCCUUGGCUUCCGGCCUCAUUAGACCGUCGUCAACCCCGGCCGGCGCUGGGGUUUUUUUGUGAGCAAGAAGGACGGAUCCCUGCGACCCAGGAUUGAUUACAGAGGACUCAAUAACAUCACCAUCAAAAACAGGUACCCACUUCCGCCCAUCUCAUCUGCUUUUGAGUUGCUACAAGGGGCUACGGUAUUUUCUAAACUGGAUCUACUUAACGCGUACCAUUUGGUCAGAAUCAGAGAGGGGGAUGAGUGGAAGACGGCCUUCAACACUCCCAGUGGACAUUAUGAAUAUUUGGUCAUGCCAUUUGGGCUCACUAAUGCCCCAGCUGUUUUCCAGGUGCUGGUAAAUGACGUUCUCCACGAUCUGCUCAAUGUCUGUGUUUUUGUUUAUCUGGACGACAUUUUGAAGUCUACACACGCACGUGAUCCAUGUAUGGCAAGUCCUCAAGAGACUCCUUGAGAAUCACCUCUUCGUUAAGGCCGAAAAGUGCAGUUUCCACACCUCAGAAGUAUCUUUUCUGGGCUUCGUCAUCAAGGCCGGCAAUAUUCAGAUGGACCCUGCUAAGACCAGGGCCGUGGCCGACUGGCCCCAACCCUACACCCGCAAAGAACUGCAGCUUUUUGGGCUUCGCCAAUUUCUAUCGGCGGUUCAUUCGGAACUACAGUUCUGUGGCCGCUCCUCUCACCGCUCUAACCUCCCCACAAGUGCCCUUUCAGUGGACCUCGGCAGCGGCCAGGGCAUUCGGGGAAUUGAAGACACGAUUUACCUCUGCCCCUAUUCUUGUUUUCCCAGACCCUGCUCGGCAGUUUGUGGUGGAGGUGGAUGCGUCAGACACCGGCGUAGGAGCGGUUCUCUCGCAGCGGUCGUCUACAGAUCAGAAGGUUCACCCAUGCUAAAGCUUGCACUGGAGGAGUGGAGACACUGGCUGGAGGGAGCUGACCAGCCGUUUAUGGUGUGGACUGACCACAAAAACUUAGAGUACAUUCGCUCUGCCAAGCGGUUGAACUCCAGACAGGCAAGGUGGGCCCUAUUUUUUUACCGUUUUGAGUUUACUCUAUCCUACUUCCCGGGCACGAAGAAUGUCAAACCUGAUGCCCUGUCCCGUCAGUACCAGUCCAGGAGCUGCGUUCAGAGUCCGGAGAACAUUCUCUCUCCUGAAUGUGUUGUUGGGGCGGUGACCUGGGAGGUGGAAGAGGAAGUAAAACGGUCCCAUACAGCGCAACCGGCGCCGAGUGCCUGUCCAGAUAACCUUCUGUUUGUCCCAGCGAAUCUGCGUUCGAAGGUCCUGCAGUGGGGUCACUCUUCCCGCCUGGCUUGUCACCCGGGGGUGAUCCGCACGCUAGCUCUGCUUAAACAACGGUUUUGGUGGCCGACUAUGGAGAAGGACGCAAGAGAAUUCGUCGGUGCCUGCAUGAUCUGCGCUCAGCAUAAGGGCUCUCGCAAGGCUCCAUCCGGCCUCCUACAUCCCCUGCCCAUCCCUCAUCGUCCCUAGUCCCACAUUGCUUUGGAUUUUGUAAACGGUCUACCCCCAUCUGAAGGUAACAGUUAUUCUAACGGUAAUUGAUCGCUUCUCCAAGUCUGCUCAACUCAUUCCACUACCUAAGCUGCCUUCUGCUAAAGAGACAGCAGAAUUACUAUUACAGAGAGUGUUCCGCCUGCAUGGUCUGCCCGUCGAGGUGGUCUGCGGAUUACCUGCCUGCCCAUCUGGAAUUGUUUGCCUCCCGACGAAUCUCCCGGUUUUGGACCCAGCCUGAACUUUCAUUAAAACCCCUCUGUCUUGUCCAUCGUGUCCGAGUCGUGCGUUUGGGUUCUCCUGUACUCCGGUACCAGUAACCGUGACAAUUUUAAGCACUUCCUAGACGCUGUACUUUGACGAACUCCUCUCUGGGACAGCCUUUUCAAAUUUGGACAAAACGGUCCCACAGUGAUUAAGUAAAAACUGUUUUUGUGUUACGCUGUUGCCAUGACAACUGGUUAUUCAUAUUCGAAAUGAAGAUGCUUAUGAGGGACUAAAUAUGUUCUAAUCUUUACUAAACUUGAAAAACACAUUAACAGUUAUAGAUGUAGUUACUUCAUAUGAUUUUAAUACUUCCAGACGGCAUUUUGGCUCGAUAGCGCCCCCUACACGUCUUCAUAAAGCAGCCCCAGCAACUGCUGGGAUCUAGGUGCACUCACCAGAAGGCAUCAGCUUUGAUCCAGCUGUACAGAUAUCUCUUCCUUAUCAGCAGAGUGGGCUUGAGAAUAAUUAAUCAAGUUGGUCAAGUUGUUUGUGACUGACAUGAGUGGACAUGUUUACAUACAGGUGUUCCGCAGAGACACAUUCAAUGUGUUCAGUUUGCAAAAUAUAUCUGCCAGACUUCACAAGUUAAUACUUGAGAUUAGCUCAUAUUCUUUGCCUCAACUGAAUGGAGGUGAUCCUACAUAUUUAUUUACCUUUUGCAGGUCUUUGUACAACAAGGCAAGUAGCCAAGUGGUGAGAUAUUCUGUUUACAAAGCCAGACUUCGAAUCCCACACCAGGCACUGAUUUUCUUGUCUUUUUUUUGUCUUUUUGACGGCAUGUCCGGCUGACCGCUGACCCCCCCCCCCGACAUGCAAGGGGAGGCGAAGGCCCGUUCAUCGCUGCUUGCAGCUUUAAUUUCACUUUAACUAUUGCUUCUGCUAGUUAUAAAAUUCUUUAAAAAUGUUAAACUCCAGCCAGUUGACUUUUUAUGACUUCUCUUCACAGAAUGGUUUGUAAUAUUUAACAGAUUUCGUUUUCCAUGAAAUUUUAAUCAAG